rnacentral:rRNA from 1 species
UGGGGAAUAUUGGACAAUGGGGGAAACCCUGAUCCAGCAAUGCCGCGUGAGUGAAGAAGGCCUUAGGGUUGUAAAGCUCUUUCGCCCGCGAAGAUAAUGACGGUAGCGGGAGAAGAAGCCCCGGCUAACUCCGUGCCAGCAGCCGCGGUAAUACGGAGGGGGCUAGCGUUGUUCGGAAUUACUGGGCGUAAAGCGUACGUAGGCGGAUGCGCAAGUUGGGGGUGAAAUCCCGGGGCUUAACCUCGGAAUUGCCCUCAAAACUGCACGUCUUGAGACCGAGAGAGGUAAGGGGAAUUCCUAGUGUAGAGGUGAAAUUCGUAGAUAUUAGGAAGAACACCAGUGGCGAAGGCGCCUUACUAGCUCGGUACUGACGCUGAGGUACGAAAGCGUGGGGAGCAAAC